CCUACAGUCUCACUAGCCAGACCCCAUAGUCUCAAGCAGCAUACGUCUGGUUAAUAUCAGGUAAUUAGAUAACAGAGAUGGCAGAACAGAGGUUAUGUAUUGGGACUGUGUGUGUUACUUCCCAAUGUAAAGAAUAUUUUUUAAAGAAUAUCUCCCUCAGCUCUCUCCAACACAAAAUACUUGAUCUUCUGAGACAAACGACUGGCUUCAGGCCCUUCUUCUGAAAACCUGAUCUCCCUCUUUUUCUCCUCCUCCCUCCUUCUCUCCUUUACUCUCUCUGUCCAUCUUUAUCUAAUUUUCUGCUCCUCUGCUAUCGGUCUGUUGGUGCACUCUUAUUUCUCCAGUUGGGUGAACUUCCAUUUACUGUAUGUGUGGGUGCGUCCCAAAUGGCACCCUAUUCCCUUAUAGUGCACUACUUUUGACCAGGACCCAUAAGACCCACUGUAUAUAGGAAAUAGGGUGCCAUUUGGAACACAGGCUAUGUUUUACUGAGCUGGUCUACCAAUGAGAAGAUAAGUAUCCUGAGUGGGAGGUGAGCGUGAGACUAUAAAACAUUGGGACAUGAGGCCAUAGAACAUCUCAAUGUCUUGAUGAGAGAGAGAGAGAGAGAGAGAGAGAGAGAGAGAGAGAGAGAGAGAGACCACUGGGUAAAGGUUGACUUCGUCUCAGCAUCCCAAAUGGCACCCUAUUCCCUUUAGUGCACUACGUUUGAUCUGGACACUAUGGUAGUGCACUAAAAAGGGAAUAGGGUGCCAUUUGGGAAGCAGACAGAGCGUUUUCUGGUGUCAGUCUGAAGUCUGGAAACCCUCAGGUAGAACGGGGAGUGUGACAGGCAGACAGAGAGAGAGAGAGACAGAAAGAGAGCGAGACAGACAAAACGAGAGAAAGACAGACAGAACGAGCGAGAGAGACAGACAGAACGAGAGCGAGACAGACAGAACGAGAGAGAGACAGACAGAACGAGAGAGAGAGAGACAGAACGAGAGAGAGAGACUGACAAAACGAGAGAGAGAGACAGAACGAGAGAGAGACAGACAGAACGAGAGAGAGAGAGAGACUGACAAAACGAGAGAGAGACAGAACGAGAGAGAGACAGAGAGAAGGCAGGAUGGUCUCCUGGGACACAGAUGAAAAGCGGCUAAUGUGAUGUAGCGGGCACUGAAAGGGCACCAGCCGGCACGGCAGAGAGAAGACCAGUAAACGAUAUGGGGUGUGCAGAGUGAGAAUGAAGGAAGGGCUGAAGAGACGCAAGUCUCAGGAAUCCCUGAAGUGGACGUGACAAGGAUGAAAUAGACAGUGAGGGAGGGAGCUAGGCGGGGGGACGGAGAGAGAUUGAGUCAGCGAUACCAUCCCCCCUUACUCCUCCUCCUCCUACCCUUCUUCCAUCAAGGCUUUGAAGUGGGACUGUCUUGCACUGGGCUCUGAUGUCCAGAGAUAGCAGGACAGAGGAUGACAGAGAGAAGGAGAAGGUCUGAAAGGGAUGGGAGCAGGGAGAGAUGAGACGUUAUUAGAUUAGCAGACCUUAACAAGGGUAUUUCAGGACUAACUGAGGACAUUCAUUUAUCUGUGGGAAUAGUGAUGUGAAUAUACAAAUAUGUAUAGUAUUAUAUUACUUAUACAAAGUAAAGAUGGCCAAAUAUGUCCAAGGGAAGCAUUGUUGUUUCAUUUCUAAAUGUUAACAGACAGUCAAGUUAAGAUGUGUCAUCCAAUGUGUACCUGGCCUGGCCAGACUCAGUCAUGCUGUGGUCUCCCUCUGCGGUUCUAUUUGCUGCUUUCAGUUAUUUUAUGAUAUACGGGGCACGGUCACAUCUUGUUAGGUUGACAGGUAGUUAUUUUAUGAUAUACGGGGCACGGUCACAUCUUGUUAGGUUGACAGUUAGUUAUUUUAUGAUAUACGGGGCAUGGUCACAUCUUGUUAGGUUGACAGUUAGUUAUUUUAUGAUAUACGGGGCACGGUCACAUCUUGUUAGGUUGACAGUUAGUUAUUUUAUGAUAUACGGGGCAUGAUCACAUCUUGUUAGGUUGACAGUUAGAGCUUCUGUUCUGGAAAUUCACCUGGGAAUCCACCUUAGGCAUCGGUGACAGAAAUACAGAUCCUGUGUGUGUGUGUGUGUGUGCACGCGUGUGUGUGUGGGGGGGGGUUCCAGAUUACUGUUCCUGUAUAUGUGUGUGUGUGUGUCUGGAAUCCCCCUAUCUCCCUCCCCAGUGAUGUUUCCUCUGGCUCAGAUAAAGAAUGCCCUGCCGUGACUGUGCUCUCACUCAGUAUGCAAAAACAUAACUCAUUCACAGUUAGAGACACAGUA
rnacentral:lncRNA from 1 species